rnacentral:rRNA from 1 species
CAAUAGCGUAUAUUAAAGUUGUUGCGGUUAAAAAAGCUCGUAGUUGGAUUUCUGUUGGGAACGACCGGUCCGCCCAUUGGGUGUGCAUCUGGCUUGUUCUCGGCAUCUUCUUGGUGAACGUUGCUGCACUUGACUGUGUGGAGCGCUACCCAGGACUUUUACUUUGAGGAAAUUAGAGUGUUUCAAGCAGGCAUAUGCCUUGAAUACAUUAGCAUGGAAUAAUAAGAUAGGACCUCGGUUCUAUUUUUGUUGGUUUCUAGAGCUGAGGUAAUGAUUAAUAGGGAUAGUUGGGGGCAUUAGUACUUAACUGUCAGAGGUGAAAUUCUCCGAUUUGUUAAAGACUAACUUAUGCGAAAGCAUUUGCCAAGGAUGUUUUCAUUAAUCAAGAACGAAAGUUAGGGGGAU